GGGCGGUGGCGGCGUCUCCGCGUGGUGCGCGCGGCCUGGUUCCCGGAGCCCCCGGCGCCCGCCGCCCCGCCAGGGCCUCGCCAGCCGUGAUCCGAGCUGCGGCCGUGCGCCCCCGGUGCCGGGCCGGCCGCGGGAGGGACGGCGGGCCCCGGGCCAGGCGCCGGGCGGGUCCGGACCUUGCUGAGCGCCCGCCGCCCUCCCUCGCGGGUUGAGACCCGUAGAAAGUGGCCUCCCGCCUCUGGCCACGCGUUGUUUUUGCUUUAAAAAGCGGGUCGGCUGCCCCUCAUUCCCUGGUCGGGUGUGGCCGAAAGGCGGCUUCCGAAGCGUGGUGGUGUGAAUGCCGCUGCUUAGCCGGGGGCCCGGUGGGAGCAGGCAUUCCUAGACCUGGCCCCCGGGCUCCAUACGCGGCCAGCCAGUGACCUUAGUUUUCCACACUCGAGUUAGGCGGGGACCGGGGAGGGGGACGGUAAAUGGGUUUUGGGGGUUCCUGGCCGCAAGUAGGCCUGGUGGCAGGGUCUCUGGACGCCCAAUGCAAGCGGAACAGCCCACGAGAAGUGGCUCCUUGUGGGUUCGCCGGAGUUUUAGAAAGGGCUGCUUUCCUUUUUCUCUAGGGAGUUUGCUAGAGACCGAGCACCUGGGAGGGCGUCCUGGGGUCUCAGCUCUUGGGUGGCCUCGGUUGGUGAGGCGGUCCGGCCUUUGACAGCAGGAGGUAGGAGUGGGUCGCCGACAAGCAGGGAUGAGCAGAAGAGGUGAGUGGAUUUCAGGUAGGCUGACCUGCUGAAGGGCUGAGGGUUCCCCGUCCCAGGGGAUGAAAACAAUGAAGGCACCUGAAGUUUCCUUCGGGGGAGGCCGAGCACCGGCACCCAACCGUUAACCUGCUUCAAAUGACUCUGGGUCAGAGCGUCAGCGUGCUCUGCCUCCUGCCGCAAGUUGGAUGCGCUGCACAGCCAGAAACUCAAGCUGUCAAGUUGCAGGGUUCUGACAAUGCGGAGACCGUGGCGCAGGCCGGCCAUCCUGGCUUUGUCCGGUUUUAAGAAUUGCAGGGCACUGCUUCCUGGCCCGUCCCCUGGUUUGUGGCUUUCUGGUCCGUUGGUUAGUAGUUUUCGGGGUGGGGGGAGUGGGGGCGGGCAGCAACCCUUCCUGAGCAACCUCAGGAAGGAAGGCCCUCCUCCGGCUGCACUGCGGUCCCCCCGGCUACAUCGGGCACUAAGGCGCCAGUGCGGCCUGCCCGUUGGGGCUCCUAAAGGUGACCGCAGAAAAGUUAAAAAGGAUCACCUCGUCCGUAGCAGCCGGGGUUGUAAACACGAGUGACGGGCAGGACGAGACCGCUCGAAAGCGCCUCCGUGCCACGCGCCUCGCCAGACGGCUGUCACAGUCCUGCAGAGGUAGAGGCUGGUGUCUGACUUGGUAACAGUAAUAAUGGCGGCCAACUUUACACGGUGGUUUUUGGGGGUCAGGGUAUUUGUUCCUUAAUCCAGGAAGGAAGGGGACUGCCAGCCUGUGCACGUGGGCCGGAAUAACACCGUCACCGUCCAGACCGAGGUGGAGAGGAGACGCUGGCCCCACCAGGUGGAGAGCCCAGCCGGCCCAGCCAGGCGAGAUCCAGGCCGUCCGCUCAGGGUGAGACACUCCCUGAUACAAAGCAGAGAAGUAGCAAGGUAUUUUGCAUUGCUUUCUGAAACGCCUGUGCAGAGUGUUGGCGUGUUGGAAAGCGGUCCUGUGUUGUGGGUCUGCGGGGCGAGGCGGGGAGUGUUGAACUGUUAAUUGAGCCCCCUCUGACUGCAAAAAAUCCAAGAAAAGUAAACGUGGUUGAGAGCAGAGACAAGGGGUCAAGAUCCAUCGGGGGGCCAGGGCCUCCACUUUUGAUGCAGUGAUUGUUGGCAGAGCAGCCUCGCCUCUGCUUUCAGAGGAGGAGCCCCCACUCGGAGGCCGCCCCGCGCGGGGGUCUCGGGUCCUCAUUCUUCCUCCCCGGCCACUGCGUCCCUCGGGGAGCAAAGGCUUCGGCAGCAGAGGUUUCGAACUGCCCGGAGUCCAUGAUUCUAAACUGCUGCUUGUGCCGCGUGCGGACUGUUUCCCCCGCAGACAAGGGAGGAAAGUCCGGACGGGGAGAAGUUAUUUCAACUAAGGUAGAACGGGUGCUAGGAACUAACACUGAAAACGCGGUAGGACGGCCGGAAUUGGGAACAGCUUUAAGCAAACGGUGGUGAAGUAAGCUGAACGAUUUAAUGCUUUUAUGUUUCAAUAAAACUGUUGCUCUGUUGGCAAAACUCGAGACUAAAUCGGUCUUGAAUAAGCCGUCUUGA